AGCGAACGCUGGCGGCAGGCCUAACACAUGCAAGUCGAACGAACUCUUCGGAGUUAGUGGCGGACGGGUGAGUAACACGUGGGAACGUGCCUUUAGGUUCGGAAUAACUCAGGGAAACUUGUGCUAAUACCGAAUGUGCCCUUCGUGGGAAAGAUUUAUCGCCUUUAGAGCGGCCCGCGUCUGAUUAGCUAGUUGGUGAGGUAAAGGCUCACCAAGGCGACGAUCAGUAGCUGGUCUGAGAGGAUGAUCAGCCACAUUGGGACUGAGACACGGCCCAAACUCCUACGGGAGGCAGCAGUGGGGAAUCUUGCGCAAUGGGCGAAAGCCUGACGCAGCCAUGCCGCGUGAAUGAUGAAGGUCUUAGGAUUGUAAAAUUCUUUCACCGGGGACGAUAAUGACGGUACCAGGAGAAGAAGCCCCGGCUAACUUCGUG
rnacentral:rRNA from 1 species